rfam:Deltaproteobacteria bacterium RIFOXYA12_FTLL_61_11 rifixya3_full_scaffold_3957, whole genome shotgun sequence.
GAGAGCCGUGUGCGGGAGAUCCGCACGCACGGUUCGGAGGGGGGAGGGGCCGAAUUCAAUCGGCUCUUCCUACCCCUAU